rnacentral:tRNA from 1 species
GCGCCUCUAGCUCAACGGCAGAGCAAUGGACUCUUAAUCCACAGGUUGGGGGUUCGAAUCCCCCGGGGCGCA